GAAAAUUGUCAACCACUCCUUCCUUAGGGGGUAAAAGCAACAUUCAGCACCGGGGGCAGGUCAAGGCAAGGCUGGCUCCCGUCUCCAGGCCCCAAGGAGCCACACCUGGACCAGACCCCAGGAAAGACAUGUGGUGGAAACCCUACGGCCCUGGAGCCCAAGGAGAGCAACGGCUGUAACAAGUGCACAGGCAAGGGCGCUAGCUGGUGGGAGCCACCCCGCCAUGCUGAUGUCAGAGAAGCAAGAACUCUGGAGAAGCAGCCUCCUGGGACCAGAGGAGGGCCAGCAGCAGGCAGCCCGGAGACAGAACUGUGAGCCCACCCCACCUCCACCCUUCCGGCACCCACAUCCGCUCCCCACCCCAGCCCACCUGCAGGUGGCUCCUGGAGUAUCCUGGGUCCCUCAGGAUAAACUCCCCACCCUAACCUCAGAAUGACCAAGAAACUGGGCCUGAGGAUGACAAGAAGCAGAAUGGGCCUUGGUAAAGGAAGACCCCCCACUGAUUGGUGGCAGUGCGGGCAGUUCAGGGCUGUCAGCGUCUGGGUUGUAGGUAAAAAGAAAUGGAACCCAAGAAGGGAAAUCCAACUAGGAGCCAAGAAUCCGGUCUACCCCAUCCUCCUUACGAAAUAGCAAUGCAAAGCCCGUGUGAUUUGGACAUAAAGCCUCUGUUACUCAACUUGAUUCGGUGAAUAACAGACUUGAAAGAAAUGUGGAAAAUAAUAGUAAUCUUCCCUAGAAAGGAGUAAACAGGGUUGAGCUCCCAAAGCAGGAAGACCUGGGGCUGUGUGAUCUUGGACGAGUCACUCAACCUCUCUGAGCCUAGUGAUAAAGAGCCAGCUCAUAGGGCUUUGAGAGGAUUUGUGAGGUUGGGCUGGUGUCCCCAGGCACAGCCCUUGGCACAUAGUGAAACUCAAGAAAACAGAGCAGUUUUUACCAUUCAUCACAUUAUUCCCACACUUGCCAAUUUUUUAAGUUCAUGCACAUGGUGGAACAGGUAGGGUGAGGUGCCAGCUCCAUAAGAUGAGUGGAGAAACUGAGGCCUGGAGAGGUGAAAGCAUUCACUCAGAGUUGCAUGUAGAGUCAGUUGCAAAGGAGAAUUCUGGCACCAGUUCUCAUGUGGAUGGAAAAAGUGCAGGAAGAUUUGGAGGUGAGCAGAGGAGAAGGGAGGAGGAGGCCGGGUUCCAGGAAAGGAGCUGACAUCCAGGGAUGUGGGACAAGGCCCAGGCCUGUCUUACAUAACAUGGUCCACCUGUUCACCCCUGCAGGCCCCACAAAUGUGUGCAAACGUGCACCCCGGCACAGCGCACACCCAGUCCUCCCUCACUGGCAAAUAAGCCACAGAGACUGGGUUUAAACAAAUUGGAUUAGGAGGGCUACAGGCGCCUCCUCCCCCCGACUGUCCGGCUCCGACACUAAACAGACCUGCAGAACUGCCAGCUGUGGUCUCUCGGACACACUGACAGUCGGUCCUUGGCUCCCUCACCCCACCCGUGGGCCUCAGGAAGGGGGUUGGGGUCUGAGAGGAUGCCACAGUGAUGGAUGGGGUGAGGGAGGUUCCAGGGCUAGCUCAACAGCGCACAGGAUGUUAGUGCUUUUGCGAGGCACAUUUCCGAGCUGUUCCCAGACCCGCCCCCACUUCCCCCCUCACCCUCCCCUCCGGCAGCCUCUCCCAUGGCCACUGCUGCGGGCUGUGAGCAGAGCCCCGUCCUUGAGCAGAUUGACCUCAUCUUUCAGUCCUGCAGCUGGGCUGAGCGGGGAGUCAGCUCAGAAGACACUGGCCUGGGGAUGAGACUCGGGGCAUGCUUCAGAGGGAAGAAAGAGCUUCUGAACAGACAAUGCUGUCUUAAAGGUGGCAUCUUGGUGCUUUCUCAUGCCUUGUUUUCUUUCAUCCUCAGAAUGUGUCUGGGGGUGAGAGGACGGGUGUGACUGCUGAAACUUCCUUUCUUGGUGAUUCCACAUCACUCCUUUCUGAUCCCUGAGCCUGUGCCACGCCCUGUGUGAUGUGCCGGGGACACCAGGGUGAAUACUUACAGGCCCUGUUCCCCUUCCUUCAUGAAACAGCCUCCUUCGGGCUGGGUCACUGGGCACUGGGGCCUCCCUGGUCUUCCAGGAUUGCAACUUCACAGAAUCCCUUUUCCAUAAGGCACAUGAAAGUGACUGUGACCCGCAACGGGAGCCUUGACAACCAGCCAAUUCAGAACACAGACCUUGACAUCGGAAGGCCCCGAGUUCAAAUCCUGCCUUGCUCCCUUUCAGCUGGAAAGCUGUGGUCAAAUUACUUAGCCUCUCCAAGCCAGUUUUCCCUUCUGCAAAAUGAGGUUACACAAGCUGCCACCUCACAGAAUGAGUCUCACCCACGCCUCUCCAAGCCUCCCAACAGAAGACAGAGGUCCCCCACAGCCAGAGACAUUUCCUGAAGACAUGGGGAACACAGAGGCAGAAACAGCCCAUCCACCCAGGAGCUGUCCCCCACACUGCCGGGAGCCGGCACCCAGAGCCGCCAGGUAAAACUGAGGCCACCUGGUUCAACAUCACCUUUCACAGAAGGGGAAGCAGCCACAGAAAGAAGGGCCUCGUUAAGAAGUGGAACCUGGGACCCCCAAGCGGUGUCUCUCAUCCUGACUGGGGAUCCAGAGUAGGAGGGAGCCUUUGGUGGGACACAAAGGAACAGAACGAGGCACCAACAGCAAGGGGCAAGCAGAUUCAAGGGCCACAGAGGAGAUGGAGGCAAACACCUUCCCCUGGUCAGAGGCUGUGCCUCAGCCCUUCUCCCUGCAUCAGUUUCUCCUUCAGAAGCAUGGGACUACCUCCCAUCUAGUUCUCGUUUCUAAACCUAGGGGAGAUGCUAUCUUUGCUGCAAUAAUCUUAGCCUACAUCUUGGAAUGGAAAUGGCCUUGGUGGAAAUGGUCUUCAACUCCUCUGGUCCAAGCUCAGGCCCUGUGACCCUGGAACAAUCCCCUUCCUGGUCCUCCAUGUAGGAGCAAUAACAUUCCCUUGCCAGCAGCACCAGCCAUUCUGAUGAUUAAAUGGUAUCGGACUCUGUUUUCCAAACUCAGUCAUUCAGAUGCCCCCUAUUUUAUUUCUUCCAUGUCUGCAAAUGAUUAUAAUAUUUUUAAAUGUAGGAUGAGUCCUUUUUAUUACACAUAGAAAUAGCUACUGUAAAUAGCAAACUCUAACACUGUGCCUAAUUAGGAAAUAAAGGUAACCAUAAAUACAGUAAAAAUGAAACAAUGUUAUUAUGGUUUAACCUGAUAGUGUGGCUUGCAAGGCCCUGGGCCUGAAGCCUGGGCAAUAAGUGAGAGUUAGAAAGGUGUCAAAGACAUGAUAGCAGCAAACUGAGGCUUUGUACCCCACGGUAAAUAGGACUGAAAGCAAAUUCACAGGGAGCAACUGAUCCAUUCCACAACAGAAUGCUCCCUGUCAAUUCGCUUUCCAUUCUGUUGUGUCCUGUCUCCCAGCAGAGACUACAAACUCCCCAAAACCACUUACCCACCAGCUGCACGUGAGAAGCCAAAGGUAGUUUAUGUGAAAGGGCUUUGGAAAUAAUCACGCACCAAGUGAAGGCAGAGGACACACCUUGUCAGCUUAGUUCUCAGCAGCAAAUCAUCUCUUUUCCAGGAUAACCCUCCCUGAUUCUUAUUGAAAUCUCUUUGCUGACCACACUAAGCUCUUCUCUCUCAGGGGCAGUGGGAGCCGUGGAGAGUGGAAUAGACCAGCUGUCUGUGACCUGCGAGGGAGUCCAAUGUCGGAAUCACUCCCCAGCCAAAUGCACGGUUUUAAAAAAUCUAUUUAUUUAUUUAUGUAGAGACCAGGCUAUGAGACUGGCUAAUUUUUCGUAUUUUUGGAUAGAGACAGGAUUUCAUCGUGUUGCCCAGGCUGGUCUUGAACUCCUGGGCUCAAGCGAUCCACCUGCCUCGGCUUCCCAAAGUGCUCAGGAUUACAGGCGUGAGCCACUGUGCCCAGCCACCAAAUGCAGUUGAAAAGAGUUUCUGCAAGAUAAUUCCACAGAAGAGGAAAGCAGUUAUCUGGCUGGGAAUACCUUAGACAGAGGCUGUCCUCUACACAGGCUGUCAGAACUGACCUACUGACCUGCCUGCUGGCAUGAUAGACCAGAGGGAAACACUCUUUCCACUCUUCCCAGACUGAGUGUAAGAGACAGACUUUUUUUUUUUUUUUUGAGACGGAGUCUCACUCUGUCACCCAGGCUGGAGUGCAAUGGCAAGAUCUCGGCUCACUGCAACCUCCACCUCCCCGGGUUCAAACCAUUCUCCUGCCUCAGCCUCCCAGGUAGCUGGGAUUACAGGCUCCCGCCACCACGCCUGGCUAAUUUUUGUAUUUUUAGUAGAGACAGGGUUUCACCAUGUUGGCCGGGCUGGUCUCGAACUCCCAACCUCAGGUGAUCCGCCUACCUUGGCCUCCCAAAGGGUUGGGAUUACAGGUGUAAGCCACUGCUCCCAGCCUUUUUUUUUUUUUUUAUUAGAGACAAGGGCUCCCCAUGUUGCCCAGGCUGAUCUUGAACUCUAGGCUCAAGCGAUCCUCCUGCCUGAGCCUCCCAAAGUGCUAGGAUUACAGGCAUGAGCACUGCUCCCAGCUCUGUUUUUGUUUUUUUAAGGAGGUAUAUUUUUUCUGUUCUCUCUCAGCCCUGAAGAAAGGCUACCCAUCCCCUUCAGACAUUCCUGAAAAUAUAUGUCAUCCAACAUCAAGGCCACCACAGUGACCACUAAGCAAUGCAAGAAGGUCCUCUGGGGUGCCCUGAGAUCUUGGCAGGGCAGGAAGAGUGAGAAGGGGCUUUGCCUGCUCACCUGAAAGUUCCCACCCAAGCCGGGCCCAGAAAACAAAAUGAAUUAUCUACAUGGUCAUCCAAUCAGCCACCAAAUGGCAUUACCUAGGUCCAUCAUCAUGUACCAAGCCACAGGUCAGACCCAGGGCCCCCCAAAUUAACAAGACACAGGCACUGUCCUCAGGAAGUGGAGAUCUAGCCAGGUCAGACCCACACACAAAUAACACUGAUACUAGAGAUAAUGAGAUUGGGAAUUAUGAUUCAGCCAUUCAACCUGGGCUUAUGUGGCAUCUACACCACCUGGCCCUGAUUUCAGUAGUGAGCACAGUUGACAGGGUCCCUUCCCUUCACAGGUGAGCCAUGUAGUCCACAAGUGGAGGUGGUCGUAAGUGAAAACCACAUUACCAGCAUGGUAAAGGGUUAGAAAGAGGGCACCGGGUGGGCGAGAACAUGAAGCAGGGGGUGCUGAUGGCUAAAGAAGUAAAGGAGGGGCUGGGCACUGUGGUUCAUGCCUAUAAUCCCAGCACUUUGGGAGACCAAGGCGGGUGGAUCACCUGAGGUCAGGAGUUCUAGACCAGCCUGGGCAACGUGGUGAAACCCUGUCUCUACUAAAAAUACAAAAAUUAGCCAGGCAUGGUGGUGCACGCCUGUAGUCCCAGCUACUUGGGAGGCUGGGGCAUGAGAAUUGCUUUAACCCGGAAGGUGGAGUUUGCAGUGAGCCGAGAUCGUGUCACUGCACUCCAGCCUGGGCGACAGAGGGAGACUCUGUCUCAAAAAAAAAAAAAAGUCAAGGAGGGUUUCCCAGAGUGGCCACUUGAUUAGAGACCUAGCACAGGAGGAAGAGAUGGGCAGGGAGAGUGACGGGGAGCAGCACAGUCCCUGGGAGCCCGAAGUGGGUGGGCACAGGGCUCCCUAGGAGAAUGGAAGGACAUCUAUGAGCUGUAGCCCAAGAGGAAGAGGUCACUGGGGCUAGAUGCGGCAGACCCUCGCAGGCUUUGGGAAGGGCUUCAGAAUUCAGCCUGAGGGCAAUGGGGAGCCCUUUUGGGAUAUUAAACUUGAGUAAGAUAUGAGCAUAUUUGCAUCUUGAAAAAUCAUUAUGGGAAGAUGGCUGGGAAGAGAGGAGGAGUGGCAGAAGAAAGAUAGGUUGGAGACAAUUGAUUGCUCGAUGAUAUAAAAUGUUAAGUACCAUGAAUGAUGCUGUUAGGCUGGAAUGCGCCAAGCAUAAAGGUGGGGCAUGGCAUCAAAAGGUAGGUCAACAUAUUAAAUAAUUCCAUGUAUUGAAAUAUCCAGAAAAUAUAUAGACAGAUCUAUAGAGAUAGAAACUGGUCUGCCCAGGACUAGGGGUUGUCUAAGGAUAAGGAGCUUCUUUUUUGGAUGGUGAAAUAACCUAAAAUAUAUUGUGCCAUUGUUUGCACAACUUUGUGAAUAUAUUAAAAACCUGUUAAUUGUACUCACUAAAUGUCCUCCUUCUAAAUUAAGCUGUUCUUGACAAGAAAAGGAAAGAAACAAAGAAAAGAAGAGAAAAAAGGUCAAGGUUUGGUCCUGGGUGCUCAAAUGGCAGGCCACAGACAGGAAACACAGUUGUGAGGAAUUACAACAGCCUCCCGGCCAGAGCUGGAGAGGUGGAGCCCAGGUCCCCUCUAACACCCCUUCUCCUGGCCAGGUUGGAGUCCCGCCACAGGCCACCAGAGCGGAGCAGCGCAGCGCCCUGUCUCCCAGCCUGAGGUGCAGUGCUGCAUCUCUGGUCAGUUGGGAGUCUGAGAUGAAGCACUGUAGCUCAGGAAGAGAGAAGUUGUUCUGCAGCCAUCAGCCUGGAAGUGGUAAGUGCUGGGGGGUUGUGGGGGGCCAUAACAGGAAGGACAGAGUGUUUCCAGACUCCAUACUAUCAGCCACUUGUGAUGCUGGGGAAGUUCCUCUACACAAGUUCCCCUGGUGCCACGAUCUGCUUCACGAGUCUGGGCAUGUCCUGACUCCUCUGUGUACCCCAGUGUGUCCAUCUUAGCAUGAGGCGUUAGCAUUUCCCCAGCACCCUGCCUCUGCUUUCUCUUUCUGAGCCCAUGGCAGACACAGCUAAUCAGUAAAGGCAUAUAUUCUUUUUUUUUUGAGACACAGUCUCACUCCAUCACCCAGGCUGGAGUGCAGUGGCAUAAUCUCAGCUCACUGCAACCUCCUCCUCCCAGGGUCAAGCAAUUCUCGUGCCUCAGCCUCCCAAGUAGCUGAGAUUACAGGUGUGCGCCACCACACCUGGCUAAUUUUUGUAUUUUUAGUAGAGAUGGGGUUUCACUAUGUUGGCCAGGCUGGUCUCAAACUCCUGACUUCAGGUGAUCUGCCCGCCUCGGCCUCCCAAAGUGCUGGGAUUACAGGCAUGAGCCUCCACGCCCCGCCAGGCAUCCAUUCUUGAAGUGCUCAGAUGCAGCUUCAGAAUCCUCAACAAUGAGCCCUGGAAAGCCACUAGUACUGAUUCACAGCUGAAACUCAUUCAUCAUUUGUGGAUCAAACAAUUCCUAAAAACCCUUUCAGCCCUGAAGAUAAAAAUUCUGGCCUUUGAGUCAGGGUCUUCACUCUGUACUUCUAACCUUGGCUCCGGGGUAUUGCCGAAACCAGUCCAGGCACGUCACAAAUGUCUGACUUCUCCCAGAGGCUUCAGAAGCACAAUGAGCAGCAGAGGAGAGCCAUGGAGCCAAGCACAGUCUCAUUUAACCUCCCCAAAAGCUUGGGAAGUGGGUGGUGUUAUAGCCCCAUUUUACAGAUGAGAAAAACUGAGGCUUAUUUAAGCAGCUCACCUAAAGUCACAUAUUGAUUGUGCUGAGCUGAGAUUGUACCCUAAUCUGCCUUCAAAUCCAUGUUUUUACCCAUUGCAUGUGAUUAUGGAACCUGGGACCGAGGAGCAGGAGGAGAACAUUCUAAAUUCUGCUCCCAUCUUGUCUUUACAUCUCAGGUCACUUUUAGCAAAGACAGACCCGGACACUUGCCAUUAAUACUACAGGCUUCCUUCCUCCUACCCCCUUCCCCCAAUCUUAUUCAUCUCACCUCUCCAGUAGGUCGUGGACUCAUGCAUUUUAUAAUUAAAGAAGGCCAAGGCUCAGGGGUUAAGUGACUUACUGGAGGUUAUCAGAGAGGAAGUUGCCAAACCCAGGCUAGGAACUGAAUGGUUGGUUUAAAUCCACCCCUCUGGCAGGAGACUGGGGAAUACACAUGAGCCGUGCAGACAGCAGAGGGCAGUCCUGGGGGUGGGGGCGCCAGAGGGUUUCCGGUACUUUUCAGGGCAAUUGAAGUUCCGGUCACUACUCCCCCCCAGAGCAAUAAGCCACAUCCGGCGACGUGUGGCACCCCACCCUGGCUGCUACAGAUGGGGCUGGAUGCAGAAGAGAACUCCAGCUGGUCCUUAGGGACACGGCGGCCUUGGCGCUGAAGGCCACUCGCUCCCACCUUGUCCUCACGGUCCAGUUUUCCCAGGAAUCCCUUAGAUGCUAAGAUGGGGAUUCCUGGAAAUACUGUUCUUGAGGUCAUGGUUUCACAGCUGGAUUUGCCUCCUUCCCACCCCACAGUUGCCCCCCAAUGGGGCCUCGGCUGGCUCACAGGAUGAGGGUUCAAGAAGAAGGCUGUCCCUGGAGGUAAGAGGGCUUAUGAACCAUGUUCCAAACCUUUGCGUUGCUUUUCUUUCCAUCGUGUCUAUUUCAUAACAUCCCUGUGAGGCUGGAUGUGGGAACUUCAGCACUGCCGUACUCUUGGGAAAUUUGUCCAAGGCCACCCGGCUGAGCAGCGGUUGAACCAGGACACCAUCAGGCAUGCGUUUCUUGUCUCCACCACACCCUCAACCCACUUCCCAACGCGCCUUGCGACAGGGGCUGCGGUAUUGCAUCCACAUGACUGAUAAACUAGUAAACACACAUGAAUUCAUUUUAAAAGUGUAUUCAAUCAGUUAGGUAAACUAAAAACCUUAAGUCUUCGUUCGAUUUGGAAUGCAGCCAGAGAACAAAUGGAAAAUUUUUCAAGGUAGAGAAGAUGAAAACUCAGAACGCCCUCUUGUGGCAUCUCUACCCACCCUAGGAACACUAUGGCUCUUCCCCUACACAUGGUGAUUGCUAACCUUGCUACAAGACGUUGGACACACACACACACACACACACACACACACACACACUGAGGUUCCUUUUGCCCCCUCACUUUUGAGCCAGUGACUACUGAAACCCUCUCCAUUGUUGCACCACCAGCAAUGCCCCCAUCACUUCCUCUCAUUUACUUCCACAGGCUGGUUCAUCCUCAAAGCCCUCCUUACGUAGAUCUGUGGGAUCAGUGAGGCUCAGAGAGGUAAAGUGGCCAGCCCAAGGUCGCCCAGACAGCAAAAGGCAGGGCCAGCGCUGAUUUCAAGUCCAAUGGCCUAUGGCAAUUUCUUAGCCAAAAGCAAAAUCUACAAAAAUAAAAAGUCAGGCACAGUGGUGAGUGCCUACAGUCCCAGCUACUGAGGAGGCCGACGGGGGAGGACCACUUGAGCUUGGGAGUUCCUGGCUGCAGAGAGCUAUGAUUGUGCCUGUGAAUAGCCAAUGCACUCCAGCCUGAGCAAGAUAGGGAGACCCUGUCUCUAAAAAAUACCUAAAUAAUUUUAAAAGUCAGCCUCUCUGACUGCCUAUAGAGAAUGCUAACUAACUGAAUGACAGAAGACCUAAUGUAAUCCAGGUGCAAAAUCAGAACUUUCCGGCCGGGCGCGGUGGCUCACACCUGUAAUCCCAACACUUUGGGAGGCCCAGGCGGGUGGAUCACGAGGUCAGGAGUUCAAGACCGGCCUGCCCAACAUGGCAAAACCCCGUCUCUACUAAAAAUACAAAAAAUUAGCUGGGCAUGGUGGUGGCCACCUAUAAUCUCAGCUACUCAGGAGGCUGAGGCAGGAGAAUUGCUUGGACCCGGGAGGCAGAGGUUGCAGUGAGCUGAGAUCGCGCCACUGCACUCCAGCGUGGGGGACAAAAGCGAAACUCUGUCUCAAAAAAAAAAAAAUUAGAACUUUCCCCGUACUCUUGCUAGGGCUUUUCAUGGAGAUGUAGAAAUGGUAGUAAGUGCCAAGGCCCCAGAACCCUCAUGUUUGGGUCCGACUCCCACAUUGCCAGAGACUAGGCAGCUCACACAGGUGUCCCAAGCUGUCUUUCUCACAGGCCGCAUUGAAGGCAUUUAUGAAAUGAGACCCCCUCUUCCUCAUCCGUAGUGACAGGGCUGGCCUGACCGUGGAGAAAUCAGAUUUGAUCAUGAUAGCUUCCACUCCGUGACUGGUCACGAUCUGCCAGGCGCUGUGCUAAACACUUUCAUAGGCCUUGUCCCCCUCCAUCCUGAUAACACCCCAGUGAAGCAGGCCCUGCUCUUCACUCCACUCCACAAAGCCAAGGCUGAGAGAGGUUAACAGACUUACCUAAGGUCACACAGCUAAGAAGUCGUGAAGCUGGGAUCGAAUCAAGUCUGUGUUUAUGGGUUUAACUAUCAUGUUGUGGCCCCAACCCCAUUUGACCUAGCCUGGCUGGUGGGCCUUCUUGCAGUAGCUUCCCCUGGAGAAGAGGAAAAGCAAACCUUCAUUGAGACCCAAGCGGUCUCUCCUGUGCUCUGUGACAAUAAUAAAGUUCCAGCCCUUGGCUCCUGU
rnacentral:lncRNA from 1 species